rnacentral:rRNA from 1 species
GACGAACGCUGGCGGCGUGCUUAACACAUGCAAGUCGAACGGUGAUGACCAAGCUUGCUUGGUUUGAUCAGUGGCGAACGGGUGAGUAACACGUGAGUAACCUGCCCCAGACUCUGGGAUAACCCCGGGAAACCGGAGCUAAUACCGGAUAUGACACCAAUCCGCAUGGGUAUGGUGUGGAAAGUUUUUCGGUCUGGGAUGGACUCGCGGCCUAUCAGCUUGUUGGUGAGGUAGUGGCUCACCAAGGCGACGACGGGUAGCCGGCCUGAGAGGGCGACCGGCCACACUGGGACUGAGACACGGCCCAGACUCCUACGGGAGGCAGCAGUGGGGAAUAUUGCACAAUGGGCGGAAGCCUGAUGCAGCGACGCCGCGUGAGGGAUGACGGCCUUCGGGUUGUAAACCUCUUUCAGCAGGGAAGAAGCGCAAGUGACGGUACCUGCAGAAGAAGCACCGGCUAACUACGUGC